AGAGUUUGAUCCUGGCUCAGGAUGAACGCUAGCUACAGGCUUAACACAUGCAAGUCGAGGGGCAGCGGGAUUGAAGCUUGCUUCAAUUGCCGGCGACCGGCGCACGGGUGAGUAACGCGUAUCCAACCUUCCGUACACUCAGGGAUAGCCUUUCGAAAGAAAGAUUAAUACCUGAUGGUAUGAUGAGAUUGCAUGAUAGCAUCAUUAAAGAUUUAUCGGUGUACGAUGGGGAUGCGUUCCAUUAGGUAGUAGGCGGGGUAACGGCCCACCUAGCCAACGAUGGAUAGGGGUUCUGAGAGGAAGGUCCCCCACAUUGGAACUGAGACACGGUCCAAACUCCUACGGGAGGCAGCAGUGAGGAAUAUUGGUCAAUGGACGAGAGUCUGAACCAGCCAAGUAGCGUGAAGGAUGAAGGUCCUACGGAUUGUAAACUUCUUUUAUAAGGGAAUAAACCCUCCCACGUGUGGGAGCUUGUAUGUACCUUAUGAAUAAGCAUCGGCUAACUCCGUGCCAGCAGCCGCGGUAAUACGGAGGAUGCGAGCGUUAUCCGGAUUUAUUGGGUUUAAAGGGAGCGCAGACGGGUCGUUAAGUCAGCUGUGAAAGUUUGGGGCUCAACCUUAAAAUUGCAGUUGAUACUGGCGUCCUUGAGUGCGGUUGAGGUGUGCGGAAUUCGUGGUGUAGCGGUGAAAUGCUUAGAUAUCACGAAGAACUCCGAUUGCGAAGGCAGCACACUAAUCCGUAACUGACGUUCAUGCUCGAAAGUGUGGGUAUCAAACAGGAUUAGAUACCCUGGUAGUCCGCACGGUAAACGAUGGAUGCCCGCUGUUGGUCUGAAUAGGUCAGCGGCCAAGCGAAAGCAUUAAGCAUCCCACCUGGGGAGUACGCCGGCAACGGUGAAACUCAAAGGAAUUGACGGAAGGGCGAA
rnacentral:rRNA from 1 species